rnacentral:lncRNA from 1 species
AUGAAUGGUUUAGCACCAUCUUCUUGGUACUAUCUUCACGAUAGUGCGCAAGUUCUCGCGAGAUCUGGUCAUUUAAAAGUGUGUAGCACCUCCCUCCUCGCUCUUUCGCUCCUGCUUUGGCCAUGGGAUGUGCCUGCCCCUGCUUUGGCUUCCACUGUGAUUGGAAGCUUCCUGAGGCCUCACCGGGAGAGAUGCUGCUAUGCUUCCUGUACAGCCUGCAGAACCAUGAGCCGAAGUAUGAAGACCAGGGAAGUCAAUGUGUGUUCUUCUAGUUAGCACAGAAGUUUAUAGGGGGUUACAAAUAGCAAAGCCGUGUAAGAGUGCCUGCUUUGCCUUGAAAGUUUCCUGAGACCUCCCCAGCCAUGCUACCUGAACAACUGCAGAAAUGUGAGCCAAUUAAACCUCUUUUCUUAUAAAUUACCCUGUCUCAGGUAGAUCUUCAUAGCAGUGCAAGA